rnacentral:miRNA from 1 species
CCUAGUAGGUGUUCAGUAAGUG